rnacentral:lncRNA from 1 species
UUUAAAGUGCACAAGGAAUUAUACAUACUUCCAAAUCAAUUAGAUUCUCUCAGUUACACUAGGGGAAAAAUUCUGAAUUAGCUAAGUUAUAGCUAAUAAGAUAUAUGAAUAUUCUGUCAAAGAGUCUGUCAAGCACGAUAAACAUCUCUACUAUUUCAACGAGUUGGAUUAAGUCAUUGUGACAUACGAGUAUAUAUGAGAUUCAUAUUUAAGUCUUCUUUUCUUCUUCUUCUUCUCUUUUUCUCAAACUUUUUUCAAGUCUUCUAUUUUAACUUGAUUUUGGAACCAUCAAUUAAACUUUUACAUUGGUGUCCCUCCCCAGUAACACUCAAAGUUCUCAUUUUCUCUUCAACUCUUUUUUUUGAAAAAUAUUUCUCUUGCUCCUCCUAAUAUAGUUUCUAAACAAUGUAAUAUAGCAACAACAACAACAACAACAAACUCAGUAUAAUUUCACAAGUGCGGUCUAGGGAGGGUGUGUGAUAUGCAUACCUUACCUUGACCUUUGCGAAAGCAGAGAGGUUAUUUUCCAUAGACCCUCGGCUCAAAAAAAAAAAAAGGGGCAGUAAUAAGCAAACAAAUAAAAAAAGCGAAGAAAAAAUUCAAGACUAACACUAAGUAAUGCAAUCAGAAAAUCGAAAGAAAGCGACAAGUAAUAACAGAUGCAGGCAGUUCAUACAAUUUAAAUGGUUCGAAAUAUGUAGAAGUCCUAGGUUCGAAUCUAAUUUUCACUCAUCAACAAAAUACUUCUACAUGCUUGGCUCAAGCCCUCAUAGCAGGGGUUGUCUUGCAAAUUUCAAAUAACUAAAUAAACGUAUCAACUCUCAGAUAGCUUAAGCUUUUAAUUUACAAGAUUCACAUAAUUCCACAAGCUUUAAGUUGGACAUCUUGCAGGUUAUUUGACAUGGAUUAUGUUAUAGAUACUUUUUAAUAAUAUACCCUACCUGCCUAACUUUCCAGAAUAUGUAAUCGGAGUUAAAAAACUCAAGAUGGGCAGUGACGAUGUUGUAAUACAGUGAAGAUGCGAGCCAAAGUAAGCAUUACACAGAAUUAAUCAAAAGUUUUUCUUAAAAUAAAUAAAUAUGAAAGUUGAUUAAGGCUAUAUCAAAUUCAAUGUACAUCUUAAAGAGGAAAAUAAAAGCAAAGAGUGGCAGUGGAUCAAUUGUUAUGGCAUAAAGGAUACAUGCUAUAUUAUUGCGAGAAUUAAGAUAAAAUAUAAAUAGAACAAUGCCAAAUACAAAUUAGGGCUCGAGGAGACCUUUGAAAACAAAUAAUCAACAAUAGAAAAGUAAACUACACCGAAAGAACUGUUAGAUUGCUAAACAAUCGUAGAAAGUUCCAUUAUAAUACUCAAAAGUUUAUUACUAAACCAUCACAGUUUCUGUAAAAGAUAAAUACGAUCAACAAAGAGAUAAUUUGAACUGCAAAAAGAUACCCAAUUUCACACUCCAUAGUUUCUACCGUAGGUAUAGUGAUUUGGCAGAGACUUACCUUGAAUAGAAAGAGAAGGAAAUUGUAGAUGGGUUUGGUUCUCAGUAGCAGGUGAUGAGCAAAUCAGUUUCAACCGCAUAAUUUAAUCUUUGAAAACAGAGAGAAUUUCUUAGGGCUCCUUUUCCUCUUUCUUUUUCCCUUUAUUUUGGGACGGAGGUGGAGGAGGAUGCGUUGGAAAAAAGAGGGAGGGAAAAUGUAGCGCCUUAAGUUUUGUUGAUUAAUUUAAUUUUACGGCUGGAUAUUACAC